GAUGAACGCUAGCGGCAGGCUUAACACAUGCAAGUCGAGGGGUAGAAGGAGCUUGCUCCUUUGAGACCGGCGCACGGGUGCGUAACGCGUAUGCAAUCUACCUUGUACAGAGGGAUAGCCCAGAGAAAUUUGGAUUAAUACCUCAUAGUGUUAUAGAGUGGCAUCACUUUAUGACUAAAGUUCCAACGGUACAAGAUGAGCAUGCGUCCCAUUAGUUAGUUGGUGUGGUAACGGCACACCAAGACGAUGAUGGGUAGGGGUCCUGAGAGGGAGAUCCCCCACACUGGUACUGAGACACGGACCAGACUCCUACGGGAGGCAGCAGUGAGGAAUAUUGGGCAAUGGAGGCAACUCUGACCCAGCCAUGCCGCGUGCAGGAAGACGGUCCUAUGGAUUGUAAACUGCUUUUGUACGGGAAGAAACCACUCUUCGUGAAGAGUCUUGACGGUACCGUAAGAAUAAGGAUCGGCUAACUCCGUG
rnacentral:rRNA from 1 species